rnacentral:lncRNA from 1 species
GUUCCUUCAUCUACAGUCUUUGAUAGUCACUUGUAAUUUAUAUUACUGUAUAUGAUUCAUCUCUCUGAUUUGGGGCACUUCUUGAGAAUCAGGAAUCUCAAAGAAAGACUUCAGUAUAUUGGACAUUCACAGGAGUGACUUCAGAAAAGACACCAUGGACAUAAAUUUGGGCAGAAUAUUGAUUGUCCCUUCUGCCUGGAAGGAGAAAGAAAUCCAUCAUGUUGAACAUGGAGCAUCAGAAAAGAAGCACUAUUUACCUCUAAAGAGCUUGAAAAAUCAAGUCAG